GAUGUAAAGACUGACUUUUUAAAGUCAGAACUCAGGAGGACACAAGAGUGACUGAACGAGUAUAAUUUUUUGCACAUGCACAAAUUUGAAGGUAGAUUGGAUUGAGUUUUUAUCUGUUACUCAAUUAAAUAUUACUAAUUAAGGUUCUUCAUCUCACUUGUAUUCCAAUUAAGACUUGAGGAUAACACCAUUUUUCUUUUCAUUUUCUCUAUCGUUAGUAUUUUGUCUAUUUGACUACCUCCAAAAGCAUAGCCUUUGCUUCUUAACUUUUAGUUGUUCAGUCUCUAUUCGAACAAUGGGCAACAUGACGCAUGUUCUUUUUAUAAUCACUGGAAAGAAGAGGGGGCGAGCACAGUGUAAUGGAUGGAUAGAGUGUAUGGAGUUUUUAGGCCAAAGAGACGUAGAAGGAGUAAGAAUGGCUGAGCUGUGAUGGGUAAGAGAGGUUGUUUGAUUAGAUGUCCCAAACUGGAAGGUAUUGGAGUAGACAAUGAAAAUGGAAGCAACAACAUCAACCUACUUUCCUCUCUCUCUCAAUUAGAGGUUUUAGGCUUAUAUUAGAUUAACAAUUUAAAAUCUCUUCCAAAGGAGAGGCUGCAGAACCUCAUUUCUCUCUGGGAACUCUAUAUAAAAAGGUGUGAUGGUCUGGGUUCUCUCCAUUGGAUAGGCAUCCUCACCUCACUACAAAGCCUUAACAUUUGGGAAUGUCCCAAACUAAUGUCACUUCCUCAAGGGAUUCACAAUCUCAUGUCUUUAUAUGAACUAGGAAUUGAUAAUUGUCCCAAUCUGAUGUCACUUCCUCAAGGGAGUUGCAAUCUCACCCCUUUAAAAAAGUUGGAAAUUCUUGAUCAUCCCCUCUAACAACAAAGAUGCAAGAGGCAAACAGGUGAAGAUUGGCCCAUCAUUACUCAUGUCCCAUACGUGUAUGUGGAUGGUUUGAUCCACCAAGAUGAAACAAUACUUCAGAAUCAGAGUCAAAGUCAGUUUGUUAACACUCCAAGAGGAGGACUUAAUCUAGCAACUACCAUUGCAGGAAUUAGCUUAUUUUUAGACUGACUUUGAAGUCAAAGAAGAAUGCGAGAAUGACUGAAUGAGUCUAAUUUGUUCAUUCAUGCACAAAUUGAAAUGUGGAUUGGAUUGAGUUUGAUCUUUUACUCGAUUAAAAUUUACCAAUGAAGUUUCUCUCUCUGCUAAAUCCGUGGCCCUUGGUUUUGAAUUUUGGCCGUGGGGUCCCUAUGUGAACAUGAGGCAGCAAACAUGAAUAUAGGAGGGAAAGAGUUGAAUCGGUUGGCAUCUUUUACUACUUCAGAACAAAUUAAGGCAACAACUAAGCUGGUGCAAAAUUUGGACCCUAUUCAAAACUUUUUGGCCCUGAAAUUGUGCAACAAGUCAUGAACUCAAGGCCAAAUCACUUUAAAAACUUUUUUCCCUAGUGAUUAAAUCUUUGGAUCUUGUGGCACCUGCUACUGCUACAGCCUCUACCUCAUCUCCAAAUAUAUCAAGAUACUUCAUAACUUCCAGGUCACUUUAACAAUUUCUUUGAAGUAAGUGCAAAGUGUGAAGAUGAUCCUAUCGUUGUGUAAUAUGGAGAGGAAAGAAAAGGGAGAAUUUUGGUUGAAUUCCACUUGGAGUACCUUGCCUUUUCACCUGAAUUCUCCUGUUACAUUUUGUUGUUGUAAGAUACUUGGAGCCUCUGUUCUCGUUUUGCCAACUAAUUGCUUCAAUGUUGUACAGCUAUUCUUAUGGGUUAUUAGAGUGCAAAGAAGAGAUGGCGGUUCCAUUGAGCACACAACUUGUCUCAAAACUCCUUUUCCAUGAGAGGGAUAUCAAUACUAUGAUUGUGGAGUUAACUAUUUGAGGGUCAUCAAAAGGGGAUUAUUCACCAUUAAUACAGAGCGCAAAUUUUAUGUCAAGUCUGGAAUUUGACUCAUUACAAGGAAGAUGGUUAAGAUCACAUAAUAAUGUGGAUUGGUUAUUGUUCUCGUUUGGAAAAGUAUUAGUCAUCUUCAACAGUUGCGCCAGAGAAUGAGAACAAUUGAACAGAUCCAUUCAUUUCAUUAGGAAUGCUGAAUUUGCAAUUCUCAACUUGUUUAAUGUUGC